AAGAGAUGGCGACCGGCGCACGGGUGAGUAACACGUAUCCAACCUGCCGAUAACUCCGGAAUAGCCUUUCGAAAGAAAGAUUAAUACCGGAUGGCAUACGAAUAUCGCAUGAUAUUUUUAUUAAAGAAUUUCGGUUAUCGAUGGGGAUGCGUUCCAUUAGCUUGUUGGCGGGGUAACGGCCCACCAAGACUACGAUGGAUAGGGGUUCUGAGAGGAAGGUCCCCCACAUUGGAACUGAGACACGGUCCAA
rnacentral:rRNA from 1 species